rnacentral:lncRNA from 1 species
UCUCGCACUCACACCUCCAUACACUCACACGCGGCUCUUGCCUGAUCUCCUUUUCAUUUUGUUCUAUCUGCUUGCUCCAAAUCUACUUUUGCCCGAUGAGUUGUGGCUGGUGACGCUGGUAAUCGGCGCCGCAGAUUCAGUUCCCCCGUCUUCGAUUCCUUUACCUUGCUCGUCUCACCUGCACACGCCUCUGCAGUUCGGCUCACUGGUGCGGCCACGGGUGGCGCCUGAUUUGGCUCCCUGUACGCCUCCUCAAUAUCUGAGGCCGGUCAACGGCGAUGGAGGGGUAACAGGAGCCUGACUUCGGCGUCUCAUUCUUCCACCAAUGGUUCCCGCUUCGCCCCUUUCCGGUCUCUCUUAUCUCCCCCUGUUUCUUAUACUUGCUCUGCAUGUGUAUGGUUGAACCAAUAUAAUGAAAUUAAGGCACAGCUUGUUAGUUAAAGAUGUAAAUCUAUUUAUGCCCGUCCAAUUUUUUCCAUGCUUCGGACCGUCAUCGGCAGUGUAGGCCCCCUGCUCCCAUUCAUAUUCUUAUUUGAGAUUAUCUAUAGUUGUUCUAUUUCCCAAAGAUAGAGUUAAGUUUAAUAAGUGAAUAUGAAAUUUGUGCUAUUGCAUGCUACAUGUGAACUAUAACAAUUCGUGGAUGUUUUCACUAUUGGCUUGUUCAAUAUAAUAAGCUUCAAAUAUCAGAUAAUAUAGUGUCCACAAUUUGUAUUAUUGAGCUAUUUCCAUCAAAUGUUGAUGCAUGUUUUCAGAACUUCUGGCAGUAGUAGUUCAUAUUCGUUCUGCGGCUUCUGCCAUAUUAGCAUAAAGUCAUUUUUAAAUUAAAUAUAAUUUCUAGUGUACUAAUUUUCCAACCACUUAUGGUUAGCUAAAAGGCUAGUAGCAACUGUAUAUGUGUUUUUAGUUCCAACCUUUAGAAUAUUUCCGUGCAGCUUAUGUUCUUGACCACAUCAUCCUUGUUAGUUCAUUUGCCAUAGAAAAGAAAAUAAUAGAUGUGAUCAAGUCAGUAGGUUAUCACUUUGUGAGUGUUUUUGCAAAGUAUUCCCUUUCUCGUAUGUUUCCCAUGAAGUCCUUGAGCUUUAUGUACAAAUUCUGUCAACAAUAUCAGGUCUUUGUGAUGUUGCUUGGCCUACUUCCUGUAACAAUAUCAUGUGCCUUACAGCCGUGCUGUGUGAGCCACCUCGGAGGGGAGGGGACGACAUGUGCCUCCCAGUCCUCCCGCGUGAUUUUACACCCGAGAGGAAGAAGGAUGAGGGGCUUUCGGCCAUGGUGUAGCCACACUAGGGUUUCUCAUAGUAGGGUUUCCUUGUUUUUCUUUUAUCCUGUUUCUUCUAGUUUGGUCGUUCGCUGUGAUAAGGUAGAUUAUUUUUAGAGGAAACAAAAGCUGGAGGCAAUGGAAGUACGCAUUGUUCUAUUAGAAUGGCAAUGGUGGGUAAUUUUCAUAUUAAAUUUAAUCUAAUGGCUGUUCAUUUGUUUGUGUAUUAAAUUAAUGGUUGGAUGCUUCUGUUUUUGUGGUAAUUUCUAGCCUAAUUUAUUUUUUCUAAUUAACCCAUCAAGUACUUUUUAUAUAUAAAUAGAUAAUGUUUUUUAGAGAUAUUCUAAUGCCUUUUCUCUCAUAAUAUGCAAGGUACACACAAAGAGGGAGAAUUCCGGCAGCUGGAAAUCUAGACCUGGAAAAGCUACGUCAGGCUACCUAUUCUGCACAACUCCAAACAAGCUGAAACUUUACGGAGAAUUUUUAUGGAAUAUAUGAAUAAUAUUGGAGCAAAAGUCCCUCUCGCAAGUAAGCAUGAUUAUCAUUUGUGAGUAGUUACUUACAAGGAGCUACAAUUGAUCCCUAUACUUGUGGGUCAUCAGUCCCUCUCGACCUCUAUCCAUUGUUGGCCAGACCUCUAUUGGACAGGUACUAUAGGGGGGUUUUGCUCCGUUGCAAACAACCACACAUUAGCUAUCUACGUGUAUCUCCUCGCCUCGCUUUUCUAUCUUGGGAAUGCAUGCGUGAUAUGUUUGCAUAUGACAUGCACACACUCUCUUUCUAUUUUAUUGUUUGUUGUCCCUUUCUCUUUCACACACUCUUUUUGCACACUCACUCUUUCUCCUUCACACGCGCUUGAUAUAUUUCAACUUAGGUACUCUCUUCGCUCUAUAGCAUAUAGAUUUAUUGAAAAGUCAAACUUCACAAAGUUUGACCAGGUACGUGGAGAAAAAUAUUUACAUCUAGAACGGCAAACAUACAUCACUAGAUAAUACCCCGCGCGUUGCUGCAGAAUUAUUGGCAAUCAAUUCGGGGUGGAGAUGGGAAAAAUUAGCAAACGGAAGAGAUGAACCUGACCAAAUAAAAAUACAUGUUUCAAUCAAGAUAAUCAUGUGUGCUAUAGAACCAAACUCAAUGAAUACUGAAUAGUUUCUUGGGGAAAAACAACAAUCCUUAAUGUCUCAAGAAAGAAUAUAAUGAUUUAAAUUGCAAGAAAAGAAUUACUAUAUGUAAGGCUGGUUGAUUGGUAAAAAUAGCUAAGCAGACUUGUAAUUUGAGGUCACUUGAACCUCACUUAGAAAAGGUAGGUAGACAAAAUAAAAGUUGAGUAUUGCUCUUGUGCCACUGAAACCAGUCAUAAAACCAAAAAAAAAGUGCACAUACGAAGAAUAGCUCCAUUGAGGGGUUCUUUCCUUGAAAAAGGAGAAUAUAAAACAUUAUAGAAAUGUAAUAACAUGGUUCUGUAUAUAAAUCAUUUUGAAGCACAAUUAUAGUUUAUAGCAUAAUAACAUCAAAUCCAAAUGUACAUCCUUGCUGCAGACCUAGCUUACCAAAAGUCAAUGUAGUAGCGAGUAAAUAUUAGGAAGAGAGGUGAAAAACAAAGGCCUAAGAAGUAAGAACUGGCAUACCAGAAUGUUGAAGUGGAGUGCACCGGAUAUAGAACAAAAAAUUAUACAAAUGACAAUUCGAAAGAAUGAAAAUCAAAGCUUAUAAAAUGCUUCAAUUCCUAUCAUAGUAAUCUGAUGGGAAUGUCAAAAUGAUUAAUAAGCCACAUGCAUGAAAGAUCUAUGGAAUCUGAAGAACAGAAUAAUUUAAAGGUUAGAACAACAUAUAUCACUUUGCACCAUAACUUAUACUACAGAAUAAUUUAAAUUACUUUUACAAUGAUGAAAAUAAUACGGUUGCAGAAAGUCAGUCUUAUUUGUGAGAACAUAGUUUCUGGAAAAAGCUGAUGUGCAACCUCAACAUGGAACCAGGUCAGAGUUACUUCGGCACACCAUCUAUCUUCUUUGCAUCCCUUUCAAUGCUUAUGGUAAAUAAGUGAGAUAAAACAGAAAACUGUAUAACCUAUGACUGUGUACUCCUUUUGGGGAUCAAAACACGACGUCCAAGAAGAAUUAGUUAUUAUGUUGGGGUUGAAUACCAAAAAUAAUUAUGAGGAAAUGAACGAUAGAAGUUCUGAUAAUCUGAACUUCUUACCACCAAUGUUUGUUUAGCAAAGCCCACAUUCUGUGUAUACAUUGCGGAUGAUGUCUUUUCUAAUAUUUAAGCGUCAAUGAAAGUAUUUGCUAAAAGAACAUGGUGUGGAAAUUUGCAUAACAGAACUUAGCUACAGUAUCUAAUAUUUACCUCACUGAAGAUAAUAUCAUAUAUAUUUGACUGCUAGCUGCAGCAACCUCAUUGAUCUGCAGUUCUGCACACGAAGUAAAUUUUGUUGAGGGAAAAGAAAACAGAAGGGUAUCU